CAAUCAUCAACUUUAAUCUGACUUCCUCGAUGACCCUGUAAUUGGGGCUGACACUUUAAAAAAAAAAGCCUAAAGCAUAAGAAAAAUAAAAAUAUGUAUUAGUUUAAUGCAAGAAAGUUAAACAAGUUAAGAAAAGAAAGCAUGAUUUGGAGGUUCCUGUCAGUUAGUAUGCAGCUGGUGCACUGGAGGAGGUGAAGGACACACUACGGAUCUUUUGAGCGGAGGGGAAUCUGAUGAUGGCAACACGAGGGUCAAGACCUCAAGACGUCGUCAAAGCUAAAAUUCUGUCGCAUCCCAUCAAAGAACCGCAGCACACAGAGUCAAAAUAGCCAGCAUGGCAUUGCGAAGCUUUUGACACGGAGGUAGGAAACUGCAAGGCGCAGCACGGACAGCUUGUCCAGCUUGGAGAUGACAUCCGGGGGGAACGGCAGCAGGCUGGCCAGCCGGUCCAGCUCAGCAUUCAGCCUGUCCCGAUGCCGCUUGGACGGGUUGGUUUUCUCAUUGGCAGUGGACGGCUUCCUGAGGAUGAGACAGACAAAAACGAAAUGGUUUUAAAAUGCUAUUCUUCUCUUUAUGGCAAGGAAGUUUAAACGCAGUCAUGAGAGAUUAUAAACUGUGGCUAUUGAGAGAGUGUAUUUAAUGUAUCUUAGCAUUAAAAACUUCCACACUCAUAUCCACUCUGGGUGAAAUGUAAAGCAAUACCUGAGUCAAAUGCAUCCUGACUUUUUUUUUUGCGAUCACAGUAAACUGUAAACUGUU